AAUUGAGGGAGUGAGGAAGAGAGCAGCUCGCUUCUAACUGGACUGCACGUUGGUGACAGUGUCUCAAGCUGGUGACAGACCCACUCUGUAACUUUCAGCUAGAUUCAGCCACCAGAUCCCAGAAACAUGACCCUUGCUGCCUACAAAGAGAAGAUGAAGGAGCUCCCGCUGGUGUCCUUGUUCUGCUCCUGCUUCCUGGCCGAUCCCCUGAAUAAGUCGUCCUACAAAUAUGAAGGUUAGUGAAGGCUCAGCCAGGAAAGUGAGGGGCGGGGGGGCCCUGUGUCCUGUCCUCAUGGGUCCUGCACCCCGACCCCAGUUCAGUGAAUCUCUCCUCCCGAGACAGUUUCCUUCCCAGUGCCGAUGAAAUCACAGCGGGUGAGCCCGAGGGUCUGAGCUGCAGUGGUCCAGCCUGGGCACUAGGGGGAGGCCAUGAAGGUCUGCAUCAGGCGCCCCCCAGAGUGCACUCGAUCUUGUCACCUCUGUGCAUGCAUCCAGCAAAUCGAGACUGGGGGGUAUGCAAAGGCUGGUGUGGGAGACAGUGUAGGAGGAAGGAUGAAAGCCAGCGGAAAGACAGUGCUGACUGGAGAGAAAGAAGAGCGCAGGCAGACACGGUGGACCUGAAUUGGUGCGUCAUUUCCGACAUGGAAGUCAUCGAGCUGAACAAAUGCACCUCGGGCCAGUCCUUUGAAGUCAUCCUG
rnacentral:sRNA from 1 species